rnacentral:rRNA from 1 species
CCUACGGGAGGCAGCAGUGAGGAAUAUUGGUCAAUGGACGCAAGUCUGAACCAGCCAUGCCGCGUGCAGGAAGACGGCUCUAUGAGUUGUAAACUGCUUUUGUACGAGGGUAAAUUCCGAUACGUGUACCGGGUUGAAAGUAUUGUACGAAAAAGCAUCGGCUAACUCCGUGCCAGCAGCCGCGGUAAUACGGAGGAUUCAAGCGUUAUCCGGAUUUAUUGGGUUUAAAGGGUGCGUAGGCGGAUCGUUAAGUUAGCGGUGAAAUCCCGGGGCUCAACUCCGGCACAGCCUCUGAAACUGUCGGGCUAGAGUUUAGGUGCGGUAGGCGGAAUGUAUGGUGUAGCGGUGAAAUGCAUAGAGAU